rnacentral:misc_RNA from 1 species
GCCAAAGAUAAGCAGAUUUCCAACCAUAAUUCUAUACGUAUGUAACUUCUGCUCCUCUUCAAUUACAACUGUGUGAGAGAGGAGAAGAGGAUUGUCCAAUAUAAACUAUAAAUUCUGUAAAUAGCACUCCAUAAUCUGUACUUUACAAUUUACAAUGCAAAAAUGGCUAGUAAUUUUUCUUUUUCCUAGUGUGUUGAGUGUUGUAUGAGGAAUGAUCCAUCAAAAGACAAGAUGCCUGUUGCCCCACCCGUUGUAUUUAUCUACAUGUAGUGGUCAGAAGUCAUCUGUUUUUCCUCUUCCAUCAUCUUCCAUAUGGUUAAGAGGUUGCAGCACUUUCAUCUAUUAUUAUUUCCUACUAAAACCAUUUAAAUGUCAGCAAACCAGCAUUUAGUUCUAGUGCUCUGUUUAGGGCAUUUAUCAGGCUGUCUCACUAUAUAGAUCUGAUCACCAAUUUUCCCAUCAGAGUCUUGAUUCCGGUGCCAUGUCCAUAAAGCCCAAGUCUCAUUCUUCACCUCCAGAAUUCCAUGGCCAAAGCUACUUUCACGGAAAGCACUGUAAUCAGGUUGUCCAUCCCAACAGAAUUUACCGGCUGCUGGGCCUGUUGUGAAGUUAAUUGCACAAAAGCCACCCAUGUAAGGAUCAGGAGUAGUUGAUGGCUCUGGACAAUUGCCAGGCUCAUCAACAUGUUCAAUAGCCAUCUUCUCUCGGUUACCCCCAUCUCCAACUGUGAUAUACACAGGGCCACAUGGAUCCAAUGUGUAGUUAUAAACUCGAUUCGACCUCUCAUAUGCAUGAACAUGUCCAUUGAAGACUAUAUCAACACCAUAUGAGUAAAGCAAUUCUUCCAUUGCCACCCUCAUACACUCUGCCUCUCUAUAGUGGGCUUUGUAAGAACUAUACCAAGGUGGAUGCCAUGCAGCUACUAGCCAUGGAGUUCUAGAUCUGUCAACAUUAGCCAAGUCUAUCUCCAGCCACUUAUAUUGAUCAUCUGUGAGAGAAACACAGACCUACACAUAAUUUGAUGCAUAUAAUAAAAGCUUCUUUAAAGUUUUUGCGUCCAGUGUGCUUCUUCUCAUGAAUGCCUUACUCGCUUCCACACAUCUUAUUCGAAAAACUAAAGCUAAAAGGCUACUCCUGCAUACUUAUGUAAUACAUUCAAAUGAAGGUUAUCCCUUCACCAGUUCAAACAGUAAUCCAUUUGUGCGCAUGCAUAUUUGGGCCCAGGUCAAUUGCUACUGUUUGGACCAAAAAAAUUUGCUCCAAGCACCAUUUGCAAAGUCAUUUUUUUGUAGUUCUUAAUCAAAGUCCAUUGAGCUUUAAAUUACUUUUAACCACUUAUAAUUUGAUUUUAAAUUAGUCCACAAAUGAUCUUUAUUUAAGAUCAAUAUUAUGAUUUGGAACCACGAAGAACCAUCCAAGUGCACUCAAGGACUGAAGGUAACAACAGAACACCAUUGAGUGUGAUGCAUGAUGGCAGCAUAAAAAAGUCGUUUUACCUGAUUUGUUAUAAGCAAUGUAUGCUCCAAGCAUAAUGAAAUGUAUCCCACCAGCAUUGAAAGAGUAGUAGAAUGUUGAAGAAGAUCCACUUUCUUCUGAUGGGAAUGCAAAUCGAGAACUGUAAGCAACA